rnacentral:rRNA from 1 species
CCUACGGGCGGCAGCAGUGGGGGAUAUUGCACAAUGGGGGAAACCCUGAUGCAGCGACGCCGCGUGUGGGAAGACGGUCUUCUGAAUUGUAAACCACUGUCCCCAGGGACGAAAAUGACGGUACCUGGGGAGGAAGCUCCGGCUAACUACGUGCCAGCAGCCGCGGUAAUACGUAGGGAGCAAGCGUUGUUCGGAAUUACUGGGUGUAAAGGGAGCGUAGGCGGGGAUGCAAGUUGGGUGUCAAAACUACCGGCUCAACCGAUAGUCGCACUCAAAACUGCAACUCUUGAGUGAAGUAGAGGCAGGCGGAAUUCCUAGUGUAGCGGUGAAAUGCGUAGAUAUUAGGAGGAACACCAGUGGCGAAGGCGGCCUGCUGGGCUUUUACUGACGCUGAGGCUCGAAAGUGUGGGGAGCAAACAGGAUUAGAUACCCUUGUAGUC